GAUGAACGCUGGCGGCGUGCCUAAUACAUGCAAGUCGAGCGAACGGACGAGAAGCUUGCUUCUCUGAUGUUAGCGGCGGACGGGUGAGUAACACGUGGAUAACCUACCUAUAAGACUGGGAUAACUUCGGGAAACCGGAGCUAAUACCGGAUAAUAUUUUGAACCGCAUGGUUCAAAAGUGAAAGACGGUCUUGCUGUCACUUAUAGAUGGAUCCGCGCUGCAUUAGCUAGUUGGUAAGGUAACGGCUUACCAAGGCAACGAUGCGUAGCCGACCUGAGAGGGUGAUCGGCCACACUGGAACUGCGACACGGUCCAGACUCCUACGGGAGGCAGCAGUAGGGAAUCUUCCGCAAUGGGCGAAAGCCUGACGGAGCAACGCCGCGUGAGUGAUGAAGGUCUUCGGAUCGUAAAACUCUGUUAUUAGGGAAGAACAUAUGUGUAAGUAACUGUGCACAUCUUGACGGUACCUAAUCAGAAAGCCACGGCUAACUACGUG
rnacentral:rRNA from 1 species